AUGAAGGCCACAACUGGGUAUAUGUUUACUCUAGGAGGUCGUGCUGUUUCCUGGAAGUCUUGCAAGCAAACGAUCUUAACGAGAUCGACAAUGGAAGUAGAAUUAACAACAUUAGACACAUCUGGUGUCGAAGCAGGAUGGCUUCGAGAUCUUUUGAUGGACCUGCCAUUGGUUGAUAAACCAGUUUCGGCUAUCCUUAUGAACUGUGACAAUCAGACUGUCAUCACCAAGGUGAAGAGUUCAAAGGACAACAUGAAGUCCAACAAACACAUAAGAAUGAGAUUAAAAGCUAUCAGAAAAUUAAGAAACUCCGGAGUGAUAGCGUUGGAGUAUGUCCACACGUCUAAGAAUCUGGCAGAUCCCUUUACAAAAGGGCUAUCACGUGUUGUGAUAGAUAAUGCAUCACGGGAGAUGGGUAUAAGACCCACAUGA
rnacentral:rRNA from 1 species